rnacentral:rRNA from 1 species
UACGGAGGGGGGCUAGCGUUGUUCGGAAUUACUGGGCGUAAAGCGCGCGUAGGCGGACCUGCAAGUCGGGGGUGAAAGCCCGAGGCUCAACCUCGGAACUGCCUUCGAUACUGCGGGUCUCGAGUCCGGGAGAGGUGAGUGGAAUUCCUAGUGUAGAGGUGAAAUUCGUAGAUAUUAGGAAGAACACCAGUGGCGAAGGCGGCUCACUGGCCCGAUACUGACGCUGAGGAGCGAAAGCAU